AAUUUCAAUCUAUCAUUUUUGUUUCUAUUUCAAUUUCAAUGUAUCUUUUUUAUUCAAUUUCAAUUCUUGUCUUGUUUAUCGUUUAUUUCCGUAUCAGGUUUGCUCAUUAUAAAUUAUAUAAUUUUCUUUCUGCUAUUGGACUGAUGUUAACUGUAGUGUUAGGUAUACUUGACUGAUGAAAUUAUGUUUUUGCUUUAUUGUGAAUUGUCAAAUCAACUAUAUGUGGUAGGUAUUUGGUAAUUUAUAACAGGCCUCUUCCCAUAUUGUUUUUGCUCUUUCCCCAUGAGUAUUUGGUAACUUGUGAUAUCUUCCUAAAUGAUGUGUGUAGCCAUAUCAAUCUAUAUAUGCCUAUUAGUCUAUUUCUGUCCCAUAUGUGAAGCUUACAUUGUAAGCUUUAGUGUUUGUUAACUUUGGGAGUUUAUAACUCCAACUCAUCUGUUUAUCUUCUCAUCUUAGUUCUGAAUUUUUCUCUGUAUAUUUUCUCCUUUUGGUGUUCUUAUCCUAUAUAUAUUGGGAAUGAAUAACCGUGUUGAUCUGGUGGAGAAAAUCACUCCGUGGAGAGAAUCAUGGAAAGUUCAUGUUAAAGUUGUGAAGUUGUGGUACCACAAGAAUCCUGCUUUGGAUCCUUCUCAAAAUCUGUUGCAUAUGGUCUUAAUGGAUGAGAAGUUACACAAGAUCCAAGCAACCAUUAGAGAUCAGCUUAUAUCAAAUUUUGCUAUGUCUCUAAACUAAGGGAUCUGUAUUUGAUGACCCAUUUUACAGUUGUACUAAACACAAGUUUGAACAGAGUGACGAAACAUCGCUUCAGACUUUUGUUCCAAUACAAGACCUCUGUUGUUUCUGUGGUAUCUCCAAGGAUACCUCAUUCGGGUUUGUGUUUUACAUCAAUAGAUGAAAUUGAUCAAAUGACAAAGGACCACAAUUUCCUUAUUGACUUUGUUGGGAUCAUUACUGGUGUUCGAAAAGAAAGAGAUGUAGCAUCAUAUGGGAAGCUAAUCAAAGCAGUUGUGCUAGAAGUUUUUACUGAUGGGUAAUAUCUCUCUGACUUUCUCCCAUAUCAGUAGUUAUCUUCUAUUAAUUCUAUUUUUUUUGGUUCCAGCCUUUAUGUUUAUAACAAUAAAUAUAUAGUUAGAUCCUUUGGAUCUUUUGAAACUUAUUUGUCCAGCAAAAAGGUACAAUGCAAUGUGUUUGGAAAUGCUUGUGAUCUGUUGGAAUAUGAUAACUUACAAAAAUAUCCAAGAUCUCCGCUGAUCGUCCUCGAGUCUUUUAAAAUCAAAGCAAUUGAAGGUGGGGUAAUCCUACAGAAUGUGAUAAAUGUCUCUAGGUUAUUCAUUAAUCCCGACAUUCCUGAGUCUGUUGAGUUCCUAAGCAGAUUUAGUGUAGCCAGUUAUGGAUUCUCAAGACUUGUGAUCAAUGACCUUGGAUACUUAGUUUCCAAAGUUGAUGGUGAUUAUUUCAAUCCCAAAGAGAUCAGUAAUAUUCAAGAUCUUCAUGCAGAUAACGGGGUACUAUUUUAGAUUGGCAAACUCUCCAUUUAAUACUUAAACUUGAAUUUCUUAAACAUGUGUGUUGGGUUUCGUAAUCUGGUUUGUUAAUCAUUAUUCUAUAAUAUAUCAUUGUUUUUAAAAUUUUACAAGAUGCUCAUUACUUUGUUAUUGGGACAAUUAAGGAAGUUAUGGAUGAACCAGAUUGGUGGUACUACUCAUGUGUAUCUGGUCAUGCCGUUGUUGAGCAUGAGGAUCUCUACCUUUGUGAUGCUUGUGGUUCAUUUGUUGAACAUGUUAUGGUCAAGUAAGGUUCAUAUGUAACUCUAUUAUGGAAUAGAUUAAUUAUCAAUCUUUUGGAUUUUUUGGUUAGUUCUUUGUUAUGCGCCACUCUAUGUGUUGUUAAGCAAAUUUCUUGGUUUUAGUUAUCAUUCUUGGUUGUUAAUUGUGUUAGAUAUGGGAUUCGGGUAAAGAUUCACCAUGAUGGGUGUGCUGUUUUGUUUGUUCUGCUUGAUAAUGCGGCAACAAAACUAUUUGGAAAAACCUGUUCUGAAGCAUUUCUCAGGAUAGAAGAAGAAUUUCCUGUUGAUCCUAGUGUGCUUGCAGUAUGAACUCUUUCAUAGCGAACC